GAUGAACGCUGGCGGCGUGCCUAAUACAUGCAAGUCGAGCGAACGGACGAGAAUCUUGCUUCUCUGAUGUUAUCGGCGGACGGGUGAGUAACACGUGGAUAACCUACCUAUAAGACUGGGAUAACUUCGGGAAACCGGAGCUAAUACCGGAUAAUAUUUUGAACCGCAUGGUUCAAAAGUGAAAGACGGUCUUGCUGUCACUUAUAGAUGGAUCCGCGCUGCAUUAGCUAGUUGGUAAGGUAACGGCUUACCAAGGCAACGAUGCAUAGCCGACCUGAGAGGGUGAUCGGCCACACUGGAACUGAGACACGGUCCAGACUCCUACGGGAGGCAGCAGUAGGGAAUCUUCCGCAAUGGGCGAAAGCCUGACGGAGCAACGCCGCGUGAGUGAUGAAGGUCUUCGGAUCGUAAAACUCUGUUAUUAGGGAAGAACAUAUGUGUAAGUAACUGUGCACAUCUUGCGGGUACCUAAUCAGAAAGCCACGGCUAACUACGUG
rnacentral:rRNA from 1 species